CCUACGGGAGGCAGCAGUGAGGAAUAUUGGACAAUGGACGAAAGUCUGAUCCAGCCAUGCCGCGUGCAGGAUGACGGCCCUAUGGGUUGUAAACUGCUUUUAUACAGGAAGAAACACUCCCACGUGUGGGGGCUUGACGGUACUGUACGAAUAAGGAUCGGCUAACUCCGUGCCAGCAGCCGCGGUAAUACGGAGGAUCCAAGCGUUAUCCGGAAUUAUUGGGUUUAAAGGGUCCGCAGGCGGUCUAUUAAGUCAGAGGUGAAAUCUUGCAGCUCAACUGUAAAAUUGCCUUUGAUACUGGUAGACUUGAGUCAUUGUGAAGUGGUUAGAAUGUGUGGUGUAGCGGUGAAAUGCAUAGAUAUCACACAGAAUACCAAUUGCGAAGGCAGAUCACUAACAAUGUACUGACGCUCAUGGACGAAAGCGUGGGGAGCGAACAGGAUUAGAUACCCUGGUAGUCCACGCCGUAAACGAUGGAUACUAACUGUUCGACCUUCGGGUUGAGUGGUUAAGCGAAAGUGAUAAGUAUCCCACCUGGGGAGUACGCUCGCAAGAGUGAAACUCAAAUGAAUUGACGG
rnacentral:rRNA from 1 species